rnacentral:rRNA from 1 species
UACAGAGACCUCAAGCGUUAUCCGGAAUCAUUGGGCGUAAAGCGUGCGCAGGCGGUCUGUUAAGACAGAUGUGAAAUCCCCGGGCUUAACCUGGGAACUGCAUUUGUGACUGGCAGGCUAGAGUAUGGCAGAGGGGGGUAGAAUUCCACGUGUAGCAGUGAAAUGCGUAGAGAUGUGGAGGAAUACCGAUGGCGAAGGCAGCCCCCUGGGCCAAUACUGACGCUCAUGCACGAAAGCGUGGGGAGCAAACAGG